AUGGUUAGGGCGCUAUCGCUUACUUCCGGUAUGCUUCCGGAAAAUUUACAUAAAACUAGCAAGUGAGCAUUGUUUUCUGUACAGUUCUAAGGACUGAAGGCUAGGUUUAAGCAAACAAAUAUGACUUUUUCAAGUGUUGUGUGUAUCUUAAGACCACCUGCAAAUACUGAGUUUUGAGACGUGUCAAAUAGAUGGCGUGUUGAUUGUGUCAAUUAUGGAAUGGCGGUUUGUUGUCAAAAGCAGUCAAAAGUUAAGCUAUCCUUUCUUCGAAAAUUACCAAUGAGUUCAUAGGAGGAAACGUGAAAGGGUCGUGGCCGUGUGCAGCCAACCGUUAACUAUUUUGUUCAAAAUCAUAGUAUUCUACUGAAUGUGCCAUUGAAAUGAUACAGAUCACCAACGGCCCAGCAUAGACCAAUCUCUCAUUUCAUCUUCUCGAGAGAAGAUUGGAUAACUCAUUGGUGGUUUCAUGUGCAAGUUCACUGAACAUGUCACUGAAAUGUAUUCGAAGUUCUAAACUUCAGGUUUCUAAAUUUGCAUGGCAGACUUUAUGAGAAGUCAUGUCCUUUCAAGAAAGUCAACAAGAUUCCUUGUUUGCUAACCUGUUGGCUGGUACCCUUGAAUCUCCCUUUAUACUUUCUUAAGCGGGCCAUCUUUAUUUGAGGUAUUGUUUUCUGUCGCUACAAUCUUGUUUGAAUAUUAUUGCCAUCCAAAUAAAUGUUCAUUCUGCUUACAGGGUAAUCCUUCGCUACUUGUCAUGGGCUUCAUCCACUGGUGAAAACAACGA